CUCCAGAGAGCAGCCGAGAAAAAGAGCGGCAGAGGAUGUGAGCGUGUGAACGGCGGCGUGCCGAGCGCCACGCGCAGAUAACAAACAGUUUAUCAGCGAGCCAGAGAAACUCUGCUGGAGAGCCAUCCUGCCACAAUCAGACGGAGGUGGAGGUGAAGAGAGGGGGAAGAGAAAUGUAAAGAGCAAAGACCAGAAGAGGCGGGAAGACGGAGGCCAGGGAUACGACUAUAAAUGCUUCUCUUAUUAUGGCUGACGGAUGAUUAAAGCCGGAGAGGAUGGAGGAGGCGGAGGGAGGCGGCGCACUGCCCCCUGUAGGAUCGUCCUGCUCGCUGCAGCCUGAUGAUGAUGAUGAUGAUGAUGAAGCUCCUGCAGCGUUACUGUGAUCAAACCAAAGAGGAGCCGACAGACGAGCAGAGACGCUCUGAAGCUGCAGGAGCUGCUGAAACAGAAGUCCAAGUUCUGUGUCGCGGUUCUUUUCCAUGAUGUCGUCCAACACGUAGAAUAAAGAUGGAUGAACUGUGACGGUGCAGCCUCCACACUCCAAACUGGACCAACUACACUCCCCUCAUUAGUCACUUCUGCACAAUGAGAGGGAGUUGUGUGGAGGUUGUCACAGAGGACACAGUCAACACAAGCAUCGUACUUAAUAUGACUGCAUGAGGUCAUUAAAGUGUCAUGAUGUGUCAUUAUCUGCGUUUAUCUGUGUCAGUUUGUGGAAAUCAUACUGUGAUGCCCUGUCGUUAGCUAGCUAGCAUUAGCAA
rnacentral:lncRNA from 1 species